UCAGCUGUAUUAGUAUUACAAACUAUAUAUAUCGAACGUAUUUGCUAGCUUCUUUUGUUGACAUUUCACUUGUUACGUGGCUGUUAACAGCGGGUAGCGAGACCUGGCACGCCGAGCAAGCACUGAUUCUUAAGCGAGCGGCUCCUGUCCUCACGGCAGUUACAACUCGGUCUCAGCAAAGGUCGGAAUGAACAGAACUCAUUGUAAUGAGAUGACCCAGCGGCGGCAGGGGCGAGGGACACUUGCCAGUGCCUGCCCCUGGUAAGAAGCUACGGCUCUGUACCAGGGGCAGGUACCCAACCUUCCGUCUCCCCGAUUGACAUGUGGCUGCUCGACCCCUGCACGGAUCCCGGACUCUCCCUGGCAACUGACUCUUAUGCCCCCCGCCCCUCCCGCUCAGCCUCCAGGAGCAAACGUCAGCCGAACAUCGUUCCUGUCAGCCCUACAUACACCCCUCUGCUCUCGGAUGCAGCUUUUCCUAUACGCGAGCGAACCGAAAGAGAUCACCUUCAGUUAUCGUGAUCAUUUCUCCGCAUUAUAUAUUGUGAAGAUUUUUUGGAAUCUUCUGUAAGUUUAUAUUUCAGCUAGUUUACUAUUCCAGGAAGAGUAAACUCACGGAAGCGAUAUCGCAUCUUAGUGUAUCAAUUUACUCCCCAUCAUGAACAUGUUGCUUGUAUCAAGCAUCCAUUUAAAAGUUGUUUCCCUCAUACUCUCUCGGUCGCCGAUGUUACUAGAUGACGUGGCAUUCAACUACAUACUGUGAUACCCUGUAUUGAUUUGAUGUAUUGGUGAUGUUUCUUGAUAUAUCUUUUCCUCUUUGCUCUGAGCACUGUGUUGUAUUUAAAGUGCAAUAUGUUAUGCUGCUGCAUAUGAGGCAAAUGAGACUUGUUUCCAUCACGAUUCAAUAAAUUUUAUUUUAAUAAA